UGCGGGGUAGACCAGUGGCUAAGUCGUUAGGCUCAUAACCUAAAAAUCGAGGGUUCGAGUCCCUCCCGCCGCAACCA
rnacentral:tRNA from 1 species